AGCAGGGCUUCAUUAGCGAGAUAUCCCUUGAGACACUUCUGCACCGAGGGAUGUACCACAGCAAGUUGUACAAUAUACCACCUGAGUGGGAUCAAUGCAAGGUGGCAGUGCAUACAGAUGACAU